GCACCCGUAGCUCAGCUGGAAGAGCAGCGGACUUCUAAUCCGCAGGUCGUUGGUUCGAGUCCAACCGGGUGUG
rnacentral:tRNA from 1 species